UGGUUCAGAGGUAGAAUCUUUGUUUGCCAUGCAGGUGAUCUGGGUUCAAUUCCCAG
rnacentral:tRNA from 1 species